rnacentral:tRNA from 1 species
GCAUCCAUAGCUCAAUGGAUAGAGCAACAGCCUUCUAAGCUGUGGGUUGUGAGUUCGAGUCUCACUGGAUGCA